ensembl:lncRNA
UAUUGCUGUGCACAUGCGCAGUUAACCCUGGUAGGAAAAUCUGACGGGUAGGAUAAAAUGUCAGGACACCGGCCAGGAUUUUAAUAUUGCCUAAAAUAUCCAGGUUUUUGCUGUUUGCAGGUCGAUCGUUGUGCGACAUUAAGUAAUAUAUCACGCACUGACAUUUCAGGCCUCACAUUUAGAGCUGAUUCACACGAGACCUGCAAUUCUUGAUGCCCUUGAAUCGAAUCUUUUCGGAAUCGACUCACUGUUCUUACCCCACCCGCCGCAGCUGUUGUUUGAAUUUGCGCGGGCGCGCUGACAGGAGAGCUGUGUUCUGCAGUGAGGGGCUACUGACAGCGGUCGGUAAUUUCUGAGAGAUUUACCUCAGAAAAGGCAUGAAGUUGUUGCGAGCCGUUUAUUCCCGCUUCAGGUGCUUCGCUGUUGCGCGCGCUGAUUUUCUGAGAGAUUUACAUCAGACGGAGCCCGGUGUUGUUCCGGUUUGUUCCCGCUUCAGCGGCCUUCAGUCAGCGCGCGGUCACAGGGUCCAGAUUUAUAUCAGAAGAAAAGUCUCCAAGCACUGCAGCGGACUUCUGAUACACCAGAGACAGUCUUGGAGGAGAAAUGGUCAGAUAGCAAAAGUUGCCAUUCUUUUGGAAAACUGCUGGUCUUUAAAGAACAGUCAUCAAUCAGGAUCCUCUGUUCCCAGACCCAACCAUUCAUCUGAAGGACUGUGAAAAUAUGAACCCUUUGAACCACCGGUGACAGUUUCCACAUGAUGAAUAGAAAGGACAUGGCAGAGGAUGAUGGGGGUAUUGAUUUUUCACUGAAAUUAAAUAUAAUUUAAUAACAUUUAGUCUGCUAGUCAGAAUUAUAGCUGAUUAAAUAAAAAUAAAUAGUGGUUCAUGUUUGUUUUGGGAUAGUGGUUCAUGAGUCCUUAGUCCUGAACAGUUUAAAUGGCCGCUUUACUUCAGAAAAAUCCUCCAGAUCCUUCACUUUCUCAGGUUUUCCAGCAUCUUUUGCAUAUUUGAACCCUUUCCAGCAAUAUGAUUUCAGAUCCAUUUUUUACACUGAGGACAAUUGAGGGACUCAUACACAACUAUUUCAAAAGGUAAACGCAUUUAUUGAUUCUCAAGAAAGCAACACAGUUUAUUAAGAGAGACAGGGUGUGACCUACUUGAACUGGAUGAUCAGGCAAAACUAAUUUUUUUCUGAAAAUCAGUAUUAAAAAAGUAUGUAGCUUCUGAAGGGCAGUACUAAAUGGACAGAUAUGAUCUUUAAACAAAACAGGAAAAAUGUACUUAUCAUCCUGUUCAAAAUGUACACCCCCAACUCUUAAUGCAUUGUGUUUCCUUCUGGAGCAUCAGUGAACAAUGUUUCCACCUUUUAUAAUAGUUGUGUAUGAGUCCUUCAUUUUUCCUCAGAGUGGAGAGAUAGAUCUCAAAUUUAUUAGUCAUUGUCAGACAGGGGACAAAUAUGCAGAAGAUGCUGGAAAACCAAAGAAUUUGUGGGACUUGGAGGAUUUUUCUGAAGAACAGCAGGCAGUUGAAUUGCUCUGAACUCAUGAAAAACUAUCCCUAAACAAAAACAGCUGUGUGUCUUCCAGUUUAUGUAAACUUUUGAACAUUUUUAUAAAUUAUACGUUUUAAUUUUUAUAAAUUAAGUAAAUGUGAAUAUCUAUUAUGUAAAAUUGCAUAUUUAUUGCGGUACUAAUUAAAAAUAGCAUACAUUAUGAUCCCUCUUAUUUUGUUAAAAUGAUCGCAUAUUCUGCUAGGGCACAGAGGGGCAAACUCAGUCCUGGAGGGCUUCUGUCCUGCAGAGUUUCGCUCCAACCCUAAUUAAACAGACCUGAAGCUAAUCAAGGUCUUCAGCAUUAUUAGAAGGCUACAGGCAGGUGAGUUGGAUCAGGGUUGGAGCAGAACUCUGCAGGACUGUGGCCCUCCAGGACUGAGUUUGCUUAUCUCUGUGCUGGGGGUAUGUAAACUUAAGAGCAUAACCGUAUCUUCUGUAGCUUCUGAAAGGCAGAAUUAAAUGAAAACGUGGCAAGGUCCUGAUGGUGCCAUUAGAGUUGUAGAGUGUGUGUGUGUGUUUGUGUGUGUUUGACUGUCUAAUUGAGAGAGCAGCAAUCACUGUUCUGGCUCGAGUGUCCAUUGCAAGUGUAUUCAUUAUUGUGUUUUUCUUUAGGUUAGUAUAAAUUUUUUGUUUCUUUUCUAAAUUAUUUAAUUUUUUAAUCAGUUUAAUGAUUUACUUGAAGUGUCUGUGUUUGCAAAAUAUUUAAAAUAUUUUUUCUCAAUCUAAAUGUUGCAGUCCUGCUGAGUUUGUUUAAUAAUAUUUGCAGUCCUGUUAAAUGUUUGCUGUCUUGCAUUUGCUGAAAAAAUAAAAAUUG